UACGAAGGGGGCUAGCGUUGCUCGGAAUCACUGGGCGUAAAGCGCACGUAGGCGGCUUUCUAAGUCAGGGGUGAAAUCCUGGAGCUCAACUCCAGAACUGCCUUUGAUACUGGAGAGCUUGAGUCCGGGAGAGGUGAGUGGAACUCCGAGUGUACAGGUGAAAUUCGUAGAUAUUCGGAAGAACACCAGUGGCGAAGGCGGCUCACUGGCCCGGUACUGACGCUGAGGUGCGAAAGCGUGGGGAGCAAACAGG
rnacentral:rRNA from 1 species